GCUACAAUACCGUUUCUAGUAUUUUGGGAGGUUUUAACCUACAAUGUUUGAGGGAGUUGUUUGUUUUUAAAAGAUUUCAAAUUCUUCAGCAAUCCUGGAACUUUUUUCAGCUGGCAACAAUAGAAAUGCUUCUGUGGAGACUGCAUGUGACCAUCUCCCGAAUAUACACUAGCCCCAAAGCCAUCUAGAAUGAGCCUAUUCCAUCAUGUAUUCUGAUAAAGAUUGUUGUCUCAAGAAGACUGAAGAUGAUAGCUGGUGAAAAUAUUCUCCAGUUCAGUUCUGUGGAAUGAUCUGUAAAUGUCACAGAGAUUCUCAAUGACUGACCCAAGACCAUCCAAUGACAUGCAGCUGACUCAGAAUUUGGAACCAGGUUUUCCCCAUCCUACUCUGACACCACAGUGGCUUUAAAUAGCCCUUGCAAUCCAAAAUAUCCU